GGCAUUUCUGUGAAUGCAGCUUCCUAAAAACAGCACCAAAAUAUACAAAUAUUGUCUGCAUGCUCAAAACCGCAGCCGUAAUCAAAUACAACCCAUUCCCUCUGUAUUCCCAAAGCCCUGACUCCCACCCCGUUCCUUGGAUGCUAGAAUACAGCCAUUACAGGGACACUCCACUGCCCAAAUACAACAUGAAUAAAAGUCACUGUUGAGUAGAUAAACCCCAAAUGAAACCUUGCAUGCAUUUAAUUAUGCAUUUUGUCACAGGGGAGGAGAUCUAAAACAGCUUGCAAAACCUGCAGAUCUCUUGUCCGCAGCAUUUGUAAGCCCUCCCCUUAGAAACCUGCCCAGACUUUUUUGUGCCCGUCCAAUCACAGACUUCCAAAUGCAGCUCUUGGAAGGCAGGUGCUCUGGGCAAUUGCUGCCUCUUGGGUUUAGCUCUACUCAGCUAACCAAACCAGGAAGUAACAGGGUCUGUUGUCUGAUUGAAAGCUAGGAAGUUAAACAAAGUUUAUUUUAUAAAUGUUUUUACUGAAAUCAGCACUAUUUGUAAAAUUAAGACGGCAUGCUCUUCACACAUAAAGUGUUUCAGCAAGCUAAAGUGCUAUAGGGAUCUGGAGAGUCCCUUUCAGUUUGACCUGUCCAGGUAUUUGUAGAGAGUGGAAGAAUAAAGUGGGUGUAAUUUAUAGUCCCCUAACAGAGAUGCAAAUGGACAGA